rnacentral:rRNA from 1 species
UACAGAGGUGGCAAGCGUUGUUCGGAAUUACUGGGCGUAAAGGGCGCGUAGGCGGUUCGUUAAGUCCUGUGUGAAAUCCCCCGGCUCAACUGGGGAACUGCACGGGAAACUAGCGGGCUUGAGUUCGGGAGAGGGAAGCGGAAUUCCGGGUGUAGCGGUGAAAUGCGUAGAUAUCCGGAGGAACACCGGUGGCGAAGGCGGCUUCCUGGACCGACACUGACGCUGAGGCGCGAAAGCUAGGGGAGCAAACGGG